UACGUAGGGUGCAAGCGUUAAUCGGAAUUACUGGGCGUAAAGCGUGCGCAGGCGGUUGUGCAAGACAGAUGUGAAAUCCCCGGGCUUAACCUGGGAACUGCGUUUGAAACUGGAAGGCUAGAGUGUGGCAGAGGGGGGUGGAAUUCCACGUGUAGCAGUGAAAUGCGUAGAUAUGUGGAGGAACACCGAUGGCGAAGGCAGCCCCCUGGGCUAACACUGACGCUCAUGCACGAAAGCGUGGGGAGCAAACAGG
rnacentral:rRNA from 1 species